rnacentral:rRNA from 1 species
GACGAACGCUGGCGGCGUGCUUAACACAUGCAAGUCGAACGGAAAGGCCCUGCUUUUGUAGGGUGCUCGAGUGGCGAAGGGGUGAGUAACACGUGAGUAACCUGCCCUUGUCUUUGGGAUAACUUCAGGAAACUGGGGCUAAUACCGGAUAGGAGCUCCUGCUCCAUGGUGGGGGUUGGAAAGUUUCGGCGGUUGGGGAUGGACUCGCGGCUUAUCAGCUUGUUGGUGGGGUAGUGGCUUACCAAGGGUUUGACGGGUAGCCGGCCUGAGAGGGUGACCGGCCACAUUGGGACUGAGAGACGGCCCAGACUGCUACGGGAGGUAGCAGUGGGGAAUAUUGCACAAUGGGCGGAAGCGUGAUGCAGCAACGCCGCGUGCGGGAUAACGGCCUUCGGGUGAUAAACAGCUUUCGCCUGUGACGAAGCGUGAGUGACGGUAAUGGGUAAAGAAGCACCGGCUAACUACGUG